UGUCUUUAGCCUGGAAUACAUCGAAGUACUUACCCUCUUUGCUUCAUCAUCCCAAAAAUCCCUUCAACAGAACUUUGUCUGCGACCGCCGACUCCAAAUCUAACAUCUUCUACCUCAUGCACAGUCAAAAUUGAUCAGUUCAUCUCUCACAAACCUAUGACCUUCUUCGCACCCCGUUUCAGUUCCCUUGCUAGAAACCCCUUCUCUUCAUCUUUCUUCGCUAUGGGUCAUAUUUCAGUUCCUUCACUUGAAUGGUUUUAUUUUCUGCUUUUAUCAGCUUCUCAACUUAAAGAUAAAGCAAAUGAACAAGGGAACGACGAAACCAAUAAAGACCAUACUUAAUAUCGGUUGACCGUUGCUAGACAUUCACAUGUCCUAGGAAUUUUUUAUCUUUGAAUUUUUUUGCAAACUUAUGUAUGCUUGUUCUUUGAAUUGUCAAGUACUAUUGUAUAUUUUGAAUUAUGAUUAAUAGAAAUUUUAGUGCAA